rnacentral:tRNA from 1 species
GGAAAUGUGGCUUAGUGGUUAAGUGCUUGCCUAGCAUGCAUGAAGCCUUGGGUUCAAUUCCUCAAUACUA